AAUAGAUACCCUGGUAGUCCACGCCGUAAACGAUGUCGACUUGGAGGUUGUGGCCCUUGAGGCGUGGCUUCCGGAGCUAACGCGUUAAGUCGACCGCCUGGGGAGUACGGCCGCAAGGUUAAAACUCAAAUGAAUUGACGGGGGCCCGCGACAAGCGGUGGAGCAUGUGGUUUAAUUCGAUGCAACGCGAAGAACCUUACCUACUCUUGACAUCCAGAGAACUUGCCAGAGAUGGCUUGGUGCCUUCGGGAACUCUGAGACAGGUGCUGCAUGGCUGUCGUCAGCUCGUGUUGUGAAUGUUGGGUUAAGUCCCGCAACGAGCGCAACCCUUAUCCUUUGUUGCCAGCGGUUAGGCCGGGAACUCAAAGGAGACUGCCAGUGAUAAACUGGAGGAAGGUGGGGAUGACGUCAAGUCAUCAUGGCCCUUACGAGUAGGGCUACACACGUGCUACAAUGGCGCAUACAAAGAGAAGCGACCUCGCGAGAGCAAGCGGACCUCAUAAAGUGCGUCGUAGUCCGGAUUGGAGU
rnacentral:rRNA from 1 species